UGGGGAAUAUUGGACAAUGGGCGAAAGCCUGAUCCAGCCAUGCCGCGUGUGUGAAGAAGGUCUUCGGAUUGUAAAGCACUUUAAGUUGGGAGGAAGGGCAGUAAGCGAAUACCUUGCUGUGUUGACGUUACCGACAGAAUAAGCACCGGCUAACUCUGUGCCAGCAGCCGCGGUAAUACAGAGGGUGCAAGCGUUAAUCGGAAUUACUGGGCGUAAAGCGCGCGUAGGUGGUUCGUUAAGUUGAAUGUGAAAGCCCCGGGCUCAACCUGGGAACAGCAUCCAAAGCUGGCGAGCUAGAGGAGGGCAGAGGGUGGUGGAAUUACCUGUGUAGCGGUGAAAUGCGUAGAUAUAGGAAGGAACACCAGUGGCGAAGGCGACCACCUGGUCUCAUACUGACGCUGCGGUGCGAAGGCGUGGGGGGCAAACAGG
rnacentral:rRNA from 1 species